rnacentral:misc_RNA from 1 species
CUUCACAGCCACUCGCCCUGCCCGUCGUUCCCUUUUACCCUGCGGCUGUCCCUCCUCUCCCCUCCCCUUCCCUCCUUCCCCUCGGCGCACGACCGCCACGGCCUGAGCACAGCACGCAGCGGCAACACGUUUUGUUUGCCUGCUUGGUUGCAUCCUUCGCCUGGCGUGCUGUUGCGUGCGUGGGCUUGAUGGGCCGUACGUUGCUAAGCGAAGGAGUCGCGAAGUCAGGCGGGGCAGGGUAGUCCGAGAGGUGGAGCAGCGGCUUGUUGUUCUUCGGAGUGGCCACGAAGAGUCCAGCGGAUGAGCCGAUCGAUGAGGUUAAGUUGCUUGGCCACUGCCCUCUAGCGCCUCCUCGAUCUCCUCUCCUCUGCGCUCUCUCGCUGAGGUGUUUUGGCGUGUACUGAUGUCUCGUGCUCGUCUCGCGCUCUUUGUCUGCUGUCUUCCCUUCUCUGCGUGUUCCUCUCCCUAUCCUCCCUUCUUUUCAGCGUGCAUGGCCGCCCUCCUCCCCCACUUCCCUAAUAAUAUGGAGGUGAGGCACAUCGAAGUGGCGUACCCUGAAGACGUGGUGGGGGUGUUGUGGGGGUGGGCACUCCUGAGGACUCGUCGGGAGACGGCCUGCUCGAGGAGCGUUUCCCUGAGGGACGACACCAUCGCCAACAAGGCGCGGGCGCACGGAACCGCCAGCAGAACGGCACGCUACCGGUGGGGGUACUGUACCUCUUGCGCCGCAGUUUGGAGGGGGCGGUGAUCUACAUGCAGGCAAGACCUCCCACCUGGAAUUCGACACACUCUCCUGUCGCUGCCUCCCGCACCAUGCGACGCUUCGCUGCGAUGCAGUAUGCUGUGCUCAGCGGCGCUAACGGGCUCGUGCUCUCCACCAGUAGGCCAGCAGGUCGUGGGUGCGCCGUACCUUCCACAAGCUCUGCGGUCGCAUCGGAUCGCGGGAAUCUUGGAGAAGGCGCCGGACAGCAUGCCCGCUGUCUUGACCGCGUGCGAUUCUGCACCCUCAGCCAGCGUACCGUAGGCGCCACGUCGCAAGCUCCGCGCGGUCGGGCCGGGCUUAUCAGUCUCUCGCAGCGCAUGCGCGCGACAGCAGUAAUACAGCGAGGAUUGUGGCCUGCACGUGACCGUCCACUACUUUGCACAUCACCUGCCUGUACGAGUAGCAGAUGGGCCGGCAGCGGCCGCUCGCCUCCAGCCUUGGCCUACACGAGGCGCCCGCUUCACGGCAGAACACCCUCCCCCUCCCCCAGUUGGGGCAAAGGUCGCCUUGGUGACGGACCAUCACCACCCCUCCCCAUCCUGCAUGCGCAGAAAGCAGUUGAAUGGGUUUGAGCAGCAGUAGGUGUGGGCCCGGCGCUGAACACGCUGGGCGCGUACACGCGCCGUUUGGUUUCACGAGCGGAGCAUCGACGUUGUGUUCCUCUACACCGCCCCGGCUCACUGAACCCUGCCGACACGCAACUCGCGUACCUUUGAGGAGUGCAACUCCGCGCCGGGCUCGUCUCUCGCCCGCUUGCAUGUGAAGGACGUGGCGUUGCCACUUGCGAGCGGCACCCUUACCCCGCUGUGCGAGGGCCGGAGGGAGGUCGAAGAACGGCUGUCGGAGGAGCAAAAUCUGUUGCAGGAUUACGAUGAGGUGAUCCGUGUUUCGUCACAGCGAGUCCUCUCACGAAGGGCAGCGGUGGCUUCAGGGAGCACCGACGAAGUAAAUCCCGGGCGAGAGAGCCCCAUCCCCCCUCUGCAUGCUGAGCCGUGCGUCUAGCCAACUCUUCCCUUCAGCCCCUCCCCCCCCCACACCUCGCCUUCUCUUUGUUCUUCAG